UUAUGGUCAUAUCACAUUGAAACACAAGGUCUCAAAUGAUCAUCAAAGUUAAGCAAUAUUGACCUUGGUCAGUACCUAAAUGGGUAACCACUUGGGAAUACCAGGUGUUGUAAG